CAGGUGAAGUAUGGAAGCUGAGGAGACAGUUGAUACACAGUGUUAGCUUUAGGUGUAAAGACAGGUGAAGUAUGGAAGCUGAGGAGACAGUUGAUACAGUGUUAGCUUUAGGUGUAAAGACAGGUGAAGUAUGGAAGCUGAGGAGACAGUUGAUACACAGUGUUAGCUUUAGGUGUAAAGACAGGUGAAGUAUGGAAGCUGAGGAGACAGUUGAUACACAGUGUUAGCUUUAGGUGUAAAGACAGGUGAAGUAUGGAAGCUGAGGAGACAGUUGAUACACAGUGUUAGCUUUAGGUGUAAAGACAGGUGAAGUAUGGAAGCUGAGGAGACAGUUGAUACACAGUGUUAGCUUUAGGUGUAAAGACAGGUGAAGUAUGGAAGCUGAGGAGACAGUUGAUACACAGUGUUAGCUUUAGGUGUAAAGACAGGUGAAGUAUGGAAGCUGAGGAGACAGUUGAUACACAGUGUUAGCUUUAGGUGUAAAGACAGGUGAAGUAUGGAAGCUGAGGAGACAGUUGAUACAGUGUUAGCUUUAGGUGUAAAGACAGGUGAAGUAUGGAAGCUGAGGAGACAGUUGAUACACAGUGUUAGCUUUAGGUGUAAAGACAGGUGAAGUAUGGAAGCUGAGGAGACAGUUGAUACACAGUGUUAGCUUUAGGUGUAAAGACAGGUGAAGUAUGGAAGCUGAGGAGACAGUUGAUACACAGUGUUAGCUUUAGGUGUAAAGACAGGUGAAGUAUGGAAGCUGAGGAGAUAGUUGAUACACAGUGUUAGCUUUAGGUGUAAAGACAGGUGAAGUAUGGAAGCUGAGGAGAUAGUUGAUACA